rnacentral:rRNA from 1 species
UACAGAGGGGGCAAGCGUUGUUCGGAAUUACUGGGCGUAAAGGGCGCGUAGGCGGCCUUCUAAGUCGAACGUGAAAUCCCCGGGCUCAACCCGGGAACUGCGUCCGAUACUGGAAGGCUUGAAUCCGGGAGAGGGAUGUGGAAUUCCAGGUGUAGCGGUGAAAUGCGUAGAUAUCUGGAGGAACACCGGUGGCGAAGGCG